GAUGAAGAACGUAGCGAAAUGCGAUACGUAAUGUGAAUUUCAAAUUCAGUGAAUCAUCGAGUCUUUGAACGCACAUUGCGCCCCCUGGUAUUCCGGGGGGCAUGCCUGUCCGAGCGUCAUUGCUGCCCUCAAGCACGGCUUGUGUGUUGGGCCCCGUCCUCCGAUCCCGGGGGACGGGCCCGAAAGGCAGCGGCGGCACCGCGUCCGGUCCUCGAGCGUAUGGGGCUUUGUCACCCGCUCUGUAGGCCCGGCCGGCGCUUGCCGAUCAACCCAAAUUUUUAUCCAGGUUGACCUCGGAUCAGGUAGGGAUACCCGCUGAACUUAAGCAUAUCAAUAAGCGGAGGA
rnacentral:misc_RNA from 1 species